GACAUUCAUCUUCAGCUCCUGGGUUUACAUCGCAGACGGCGCUAGAAACAUCCAUCGCCGCAUCGCACUGGCCCCGAAGGAGAAGCAGUAUGACAUCAACCUUCAUCGCCAAGCUUUGCAGGAUUUUGUUGAAAAAUUCAACGAAAUUUUCGACCUCUUUCGAGGCUCAAGGGACGAGUCUGAGUACAACUCAACUCCUCCCACUAGUCGGAUUGGUUCCCACGAGCCCGCGCUUAGGC
rnacentral:lncRNA from 1 species